rnacentral:rRNA from 1 species
UAUCUCUGUAGAGUCUGCAUAUCAAUAAGCGGAGGAAAAGAAACUAACAAGGAUUCCCCUAGUAACGGCGAGUGAAGCGGGAAGAGCUCAAAUUUGAAAUCUUCAAGGUUUGACCUUGACGAAUUGUAGUUUAAAGAAGUGUUUUCGGUUAGAGGAGUAGUAAAAGUUCUUUGGAAUAGGACAUCAUAGAGGGUGAGAAUCCCGUAUUUGACUAUUCUUUCUAGCUUUGUGAUACACUUUCAAAGAGUCGGAUUGUUUGGGAAUGCAGUCCAAAAUGGGUGGUAAAUUUCAUCAAAAGCUAAAUAUUGGCGAGAGACCGAUAGCGAACAAGUACCGUGAGGGAAAGAUGAAAAGAACUUUGAAAAGAGAGUUAAACAGUACGUGAAAUUGUCAAAAGGGAAGCGUUUGACACCAGUGUUGUUUUUCCGAAAAUCAAUUAAGAAUUGAUUCAUGCCAGGUUGUAUUGACCUUAUCAGCUUGCAAUUUGGUUUUGGGUCUCUUUUUGAUGCACUUUUCGGUUAACAAGUCAACAUCAAUUUCCUUUGCUGUAAAAAGGUAAGAGGAAGGUGGCUUCAAUUUCGGUUGAAGUGUUUAUAGCCUUUUAUCUCUGCAGUCGGGGAGAUUGAGGUCUGCAGCGUAGAUCCUUCGGGGUUAGAUACAUUUGUGCUAAGUUGUAGCUUUUCAUAGACAACUUGUUGACUAUGUUUAGUCAUGCGGCUUACUCGCUUAUGCUAUUUUACCUACGCUUAGGAUGUUGAAGACUCUACAGAGAUA